rnacentral:rRNA from 1 species
AUUGAACGCUGGCGGCAUGCCUUACACAUGCAAGUCGAACGGCAGCACGGGAGCAAUCCUGGUGGCGAGUGGCGAACGGGUGAGUAAAGUAUCGGAACGUGCCCAGUGGUGGGGGAUAACGUAGCGAAAGUUACGCUAAUACCGCAUACGAUCUAUGGAUGAAAGCGGGGGAUCGCAAGACCUCGCGCGAUUGGAGCGGCCGAUAUCAGAUUAGGUAGUUGGUGGGGUAAAGGCCCACCAAGCCGACGAUCUGUAGCUGGUCUGAGAGGACGACCAGCCGCACUGGGACUGAGACACGGCCCAGACUCCUACGGGAGGCAGCAGUGGGGAAUUUUGGACAAUGGGCGCAAGCCUGAUCCAGCCAUGCCGCGUGCAGGAUGAAGGCCUUCGGGUUGUAAACUGCUUUUGUACGGAACGAAAAGGUUUGACUUAAUACGUUGGACUCAUGACGGUACCGUAAGAAUAAGCACCGGCUAACUACGUGCCAGCCGCCGCCGUAA